rnacentral:rRNA from 1 species
CCUACGGGGGGCAGCAGUGAGGAAUAUUGGUCAAUGGCCGGAAGGCUGAACCAGCCAUGCCGCGUGAAGGUCAGUGCCCUAUGGGCGUUAAACUUCUUUUGUGCGGGAGCAAUAAUGGUCACGUGUGGCCAGACGAGAGUACCGUACGAAUAAGCAUCGGCUAACUCCGUGCCAGCAGCCGCGGUAAUACGGGGGAGGCAAGCGUUAUCCGGAUUUAUUGGGUUUAAAGGGUGCGUAGGCUGGGGGGUAAGUCAGCGGUGAAAUGCCCCCGCUCAACGGGGUGAAGUGCCAUUGAUACUGCCUGGCUGGAAUGCGGAUGCCGUGGGAGGAAUGUGUGGUGUAGCGGUGAAAUGCAUAGAUAUCACACAGAACACCGAUUGCGAAGGCAUCUCACGAAGCCGCGAUUGACGCUGAUGCACGAAAGCGUGGGUAUCAAACAGGAUUAGAUACCCUGGUAGUC